rnacentral:snRNA from 13 species
AGCUUUGUGCAAUGACAGGAUUGUAACCAAUGAGGUUUAUCCGAGGUGUGAUUACUGCUAACUGAAAACUUUUACAAAACAAAAAGUAUAUAUAUGUGUGAUUUGGGCAUGGGUGGCAUGCACCUAUAGUACUAGAAACUCCAGAGGCUAAGCAGGAGAAUUGCUUGAGCCCAGGAGUUCAAAGCCAGCCUGGGCAAUACAGUAAGAUCCCAGUCUCUAAAAAUUUUUUAAAAAUUAGAAAAAAA